rnacentral:pre_miRNA from 1 species
UGAUGAUGAUGAUAGUGAUGAUGUUGGUGGUGGUGGUGGUGAUGAUGACGACGAUGUUUGGAGGCACGACCUGCUACCACCACCGCCAUCACCAUAUCAUCAUUCUCCGCA